rnacentral:lncRNA from 10 species
GAUGGGGAGGGACCCGGCUGGCGGGGCGGGGCGGAGCCGGCUGUUGCCCAGACCCACGGAGUCAAGGCCUCGCUGAGUCCUCAACCCCGGCCGAGAGGCCGGUUGUUAGGAGGUGAAAUGUGGAUCACAGCGCCUGGGGAGGCCCACCUUGGCUGCCCGCCCUGGAGCGACCUGAAGGGAGGGAUUCGAGCUGGGAGUGGGGCUGCCGCGGGUCGGACGCCCCUCUAGGGAGACCCAGGACCCGGGAGAGAGGUAGAGGGGAGCAGAGACAGCCACCAGCUUCUAUCUUCUGCUCUAAGCACAUUCUUUCACGAGUUUAAGUUUCCUAGAUCCAACUGGCACCACCCCAGAGAAAUUAUAAUCUAAUCUUUCAUUUUGACUUUGUUCUUCUCAAAGGCCGAUUUUUCAAUCCCUUGGCCGAGCAGUACCCAUCGGCUUUUCAGCGCUCACCAUCAACUGACCAUUUAGGAAAGAAUUAUUUCUAGGAGGUUCUUAAUAAUCCCCAAGCCACAACCCUUAAAGUGCCUCGGGCCACCCUGCACACAGAAUUGCUUGUAUGUAGCUUUAUUUACUUAAGUGGGUUUACAUGAGGUUAAUAUUUCAACUACUUUGCAGUUUAGAUGUCAGUAAGCAUAUCAUGAUUAGCUUCUGGGAGCUUGAGGUUUGUAUUUUUGGGUUUGGUGUUUUUUGUUUUUGUUUUGUUUUUUUCGAGACUCCAUCUCAAAAACAAAACAAAACAAAAAAACCUGAGAGAGGAUUUUGAAGGUUGCUGCUCAGUGACAAAUCAAGCAAGGGAAUCCAAGCGGAGAAAAACAGAUGGCACGAACAUUCCAUGUCAAACCAAACCAGGAGGGGUGAGGCAGUGCCCUUGUGAAUGCCUCCUGAGAGUUGCUCUGGUUCAAAGGAAGGUUACGGGCGGAAGGAUGAGGGUGGGGGUGCAGGAAUCUCUCUAGUGGCAGAAGGGGUAUUUCCUAUGGAGAAGGAAAAAGUACCUCCAGCCAGACAGAAUAAUGGACUAAAAAGGAGCUUUUAAUAUUUUAAUUUUAUUACAGGAAAACAUCUCCUAACUGCAGGGACACUUAACACCUAGCUUCUAUUCAGUCCUGGGCUGCUUUUUCUAGGGAACUUCUAGAUGUGGUACUGCAUUUACAGUAACACUAUCUGCUCCCCGUUGAUCUUGUAACAUCUGGUGUAUUCAAUAACUUUAUUAAAUUAGAAAAAUAUUUUCCACUUUUGAAAUCCAGACCAUCACACAAACAGAACUAGAUUUUGCAUGCGGAAUGAAUAUUUUAUUACUAGGUUAUAAAAAUAAAAUACAAAAUAAUUUUAAAACAGAACUUAAAACACUGUACAAAGCUUUAAUAUGAUACAAAUGGGAAAAUUAAAUAAAUAAUUACACUUUUAUGUACAGGUGGCCUAUACAAAAGCACUCCAUGUUUCUGCCGAUACUCUGUCCUUGGUUGCCUGAGCAAAAUUGUAUAAAGGGAGCUGCUUGGAGGGGAAAGGAACACAAUAAAACGCCUCUGGAGGUAUUUCAAAGAGUAGUUUCUCAUCUCUCUGAUUUCAGGAAGAGGAGAAGAGAGGGAGAGAAAAGUGGAAUUAUUAAAGUCAUCUAACUCAUUGGUCUUGUUCAACAAGAAAGAAUUCUGGUUUGUGGCUGAAUCUGAUUUAACAGCUGCCAAUAGCUCAUUACUUCUAAGAUGUAUAUCUAAUUCAAAACUAGAUGCUCCCCCCUCCCUCUUUUUUCCCUAAAAGCUGGGAACUUGUAAGUAAAUGGCCUAGUGAAAUAGACACUGGCUAUUUUAGAAAAAGGGUCAGAAGGUAGACCAGGAACUAUGUAUCAAGGAGAAGUAAGUGAGGCUCAAGCCCAGGCCACCUAGGCUGUGUUUAUUCAGUCCACCCAAUCCAAUGUCAAAGCCCCAAGUGGGCCAGUGUUACCUUUAUCUUCCCAUCUUUGUAUUUCUGAAAGCUUUGUCACCUCAGUGGACUACUUUGGCUGAUGAACAGUUCAAAUAGAAGAUUGUUUUGGAAAAAGUCCCAAGGGCUUUCCCCUUCCUGGGUAGCUCCCUAUAAGUCAAAUUCAAGUUCUGGUAGCCUUGUUUACCCCUUGUAGGCGAGUGAAGAAUGCCCACACAGAGUUCAGAUGUGGUGAAAUGCUGGGCAUUGAUUCCUCAGGAUUUAAACUGCAUAUUAUUAGAGAAAAAGAGCAUCAUAUGGCAAGGGUAGUCUAUAUAAAAACUUGGUUUACUCAAUGUUUUUAAUUAGGCGAGUGAACACUUAUGUACAUAAUAUUAAAUAAUAUUAAACUAAUAAAAAGAGAGGUAAAAUUCCUAUCCAUUGUUAUUGUAAAAUUAUAUCAUCAGCAAAUUCUAUAGUCACAUGGGCUCAAAGAUCUGCCUCAUCCAAUCUUGUUCCCUAGGUCAAGGAACCCAGAGCCAGGGUACCUGGGAGGCAUGGUCAGCAUCGCCAGUGUACAUAUAUUCUGUGCCCAUACUACCACUAACGCUUCCAGCUGAAGAGGAGGCAGAAAACCGUUACAUUGCACAGGGCCAUGAAAGGAAAGGCUUCACUACUUUUACAUGUUACCUUAAGACCAAAGAUCCAGCAAAGUCUAAGGAAAUAUCCUAAUCAUUACUGUGUAAUGUUACUUUUUUGCUAUUCAGUGUCUUGAGAUUGUGUGGAAAUUCAAGGUGACCUGAUCUUGUCACAUACUUUAAUUUUCUGAUCCAAAUUUGCUGAAAGGGAAUAAUUAAACAUCAAGCUUAAAUAUUUUUUUAAGUAGGAGCAGACAAUCACAACUGAAUUAGAAGACGUCUUAAUGGGCAUAGACUUUAUUUUUGUUUUACUUUUUUUUUUUUUUUUUUUUGAGACGGAGUCUCACUCUGUCGCCCAGGCUGGAGUGCAGUGGGGCGAUCUUGGCUUACUGUAAUCUUCUGCCUCCCAGGUUCAAGCGAUUCUCCUGCCUCAGCCUCCUGAGCAUCUGGGACUACAGGCGCCCGCCACCAUGCCCAGCUAAUUUUUUGUAUUUUCAGUAGAGACGGGGUUUCACCCUGUUAGCCAGGAUGGUCUCGAUCUCCUCACCUCGUGAUCUGCCCGCCUCAGCCUCCCAAAGAGCUGGGAUUACAGGCAUGAGCCACUGCGCCUGGCCUUGUUUUACUUUUUAAAAUUUCUGUGAGCUGCUCUAGAAAACUAAAGGACGAAAACUUUACUGUCAUAAUUCCAAGUUCAGUCAGGGAUUUCUCAGAAUUGAGGUGUGCAGCAUCCAGAUUCCCCUUUAUGUGGAUAGGGAUCCCUGUGCCAUGUCUUGCACUUACCUAAGAACUAUAGGAAUUCUCCAUGUACCUCCUACAGUUUUUCUAGCAGUGUUGGACAAUGGAUUCUAAAGGUUCCUGAGACUUUGUUAAAUUUCUCAUAAUUCCAGAGGGAAGGCCAAAAUAUUGAGAAUACUCAAUGAUAGGAUGAGUUUCCACUCUACUUCCUUAUCCUCAAGGCACACACCAGAGUUCCACUGGGUGAGGACAGGGAAGUAGGAUGUCCCAACACCCUCUGAGGGUUUUCAUGCAUUAAUCCCGCCAUAUGGGCUGAUGGUUGGAACUGCCUUUAGUUCUCUAAGUAAAGGUCUAAAAAUGCACCUGUGGUUUCUGAACUUGGGUAUACGCUGAUACAUAAGGACUACCAUAGAAGUUACAUGCCUUAAUCCUGUAAUACUUUUGUGUGGUAUCAUUCUGCUAAUAUAUUGUCCACAGGGCCAAACCCCAAGUUACACAGCGCAACAGUACUUGUCAACCACUCCAUCUCCUCAGUGACACAGGUGCUAAAGUACCUCUCCCCUGAGGCAAAGUCCCGACACAUCUGUGAUUGAAUGCAACUAUAGAAGUAUUAGCAUAAAAAUAUGUGGCCUGGAAGGAAUCUCUGAAGAUACUGAAGAACCUCAAGUUCCCUACAUUGCUAGGAGCCAAGGGAAGGAGACACUGUACACCUAGAGCGCUGAAUUAGCAGCUGAGGUUUUAGUAUUUGAAAGCAAAUAAUAUAAAGCGAGUAAUGUCU